GACGAACGCUGGCGGCGUGCCUAAUACAUGCAAGUCGAGCGAACGGAUGAGAAGCUUGCUUCUCUGACGUUAGCGGCGGACGGGUGAGUAACACGUGGGCAACCUGCCCUAUAGUUGGGGAUAACUCCGGGAAACCGGGGCUAAUACCGAAUGAUACAUUUCAUCUCCUGUUGGAAUGUUGAAAGAUGGUUUACGCUAUCGCUAUAGGAUGGGCCCGCGGCGCAUUAGCUAGUUGGUGAGGUAACGGCUCACCAAGGCGACGAUGCGUAGCCGACCUGAGAGGGUGAUCGGCUACACUGGGACUGAGACACGGCCCAGACUCCUACGGGAGGCAGCAGUAGGGAAUCUUCCACAAUGGGCGAAAGCCUGAUGGAGCAACGCCGCGUGAGUGAAGAAGGUUUUCGGAUCGUAAAACUCUGUUGUAAGGGAAGAACAAGUACAGUAGUAACUGGCUGUACCUUGACGGUACCUUAUUAGAAAGCCACGGCUAACUACGUGCCAGCAGCCGCCGUAA
rnacentral:rRNA from 1 species